rnacentral:rRNA from 1 species
UGCGAACUCCUACGGGAGGCAGCAGUGGGGAAUAUUGCACAAUGGGCGCAAGCCUGAUGCAGCAACGCCGCGUGAAGGAUGAAGGCCUUCGGGUUGUAAACUUCUGUCCUAGGGGAAGAAACAAAUGACAUUACCCUUGGAGGAAGCCCCGGCUAACUACGUGCCAGCAGCCGCGGUAAUACGUAGGGGGCGAGCGUUAUCCGGAAUUAUUGGGCGUAAAGAGUGCGUAGGUGGCACCUUAAGCGCAGGGUUUAAGGCAAUGGCUCAACCAUUGUUCGCCUUGCGAACUGGGGUGCUUGAGUGCAGGAGGGGAAAGUGGAAUUCCUAGUGUAGCGGUGAAAUGCGUAGAUAUUAGGAGGAACACCAGUGGCGAAGGCGACUUUCUGGACUGUUACUGACACUGAGGCACGAAAGCGUGGGGAGCAAACAGGAUUAGAUACCCUUGUAGUCCUAUC